AUAACCUGGUAGGCACAAGGCGGAGGCAAUCAAAUCAUGAUCGGGAUGGCUAGACAUAAAUGUGCCAAGUGGGCACGGGAUGUACAUCAGUGUAUGUAUCUACCUGUUCAAAGCUUUUCUGUCAAAACGGAUAGUCUUGCCUCGCACCAUAGGAGCUCUAGUGUUAGGUGUCUGUGAACGUUCAGGGUCCCAACCAUUAGCAUAAAACUCUUUCACCAAAACUUCAUCAAUUUCAUCCGGGAGAUUGGCUAACACAUAAUCCCA
rnacentral:lncRNA from 1 species